GAUGAACGCUGGCGGCGUGCCUAAUACAUGCAAGUCGAGCGAACCGACUAGAAGACUGCUUCCCUGAUGUUAGCGGCGAACGGGUGAGUAACACGUGGAUAACCUACCUAUAAGACUGGGAUAACUUCGGGAAAGCGGAGCUAAUACCGGAUGAUCUUUUGCACCAUAUGGUUAAAAAGUGAAAGAAGGUCAUGCAGUAAGUUACAGAAGGAUCCCGUUUGCAUUAGCUAGUUGGUAAGGUAACGGCUUACCAAGGCAACGCUGCAAAGCCAACCUAAGAGUGGGAUCGGCCACACUGGAACUGAGACACGGUCCAGACUCCUACGGGAGGCAGCGUAGGGAAUCUUCCGCAAUGGGCGAAAGCCUGACGGAGCAACGCCGCGUGAGUGAUGAAGGUCUUCGGAUCGUAAAACUCUGUUAUUAGGGAAGAACAUAUGUGAAAGUAACUGUGCACAUCUUGACGGUACCUAAUCAGAAAGCCACGGCUAACUACGUG
rnacentral:rRNA from 1 species